rnacentral:rRNA from 1 species
GAUGAACGCUGGCGGCGUGCUUAACACAUGCAAGUCGAACGAUGAAGCCCAGCUUGCUGGGUGGAUUAGUGGCGAACGGGUGAGUAACACGUGAGUAACCUGCCCUUAACUCUGGGAUAAGCCUGGGAAACUGGGUCUAAUACCGGAUAGGAGCGUCCACCGCAUGGUGGGUGUUGGAAAGAUUUAUCGGUUUUGGAUGGACUCGCGGCCUAUCAGCUUGUUGGUGAGGUAAUGGCUCACCAAGGCGACGACGGGUAGCCGGCCUGAGAGGGUGACCGGCCACACUGGGACUGAGACACGGCCCAGACUCCUACGGGAGGCAGCAGUGGGGAAUAUUGCACAAUGGGCACAAGCCUGAUGCAGCGACGCCGCGUGAGGGAUGACGGCCUUCGGGUUGUAAACCUCUUUCAGUAGGGAAGAAGCGAAAGUGACGGUACCUGCAGAAGAAGCACCGGCUAACUACGUG